UACGUAGGGUGCAAGCGUUGUCCGGAAUUAUUGGGCGUAAAGAGCUCGUAGGCGGUUUGUCGCGUCUGCUGUGAAAACUCGGGGCUUAACCCCGGGCCUGCAGUGGGUACGGGCAGACUAGAGUGCGGUAGGGGAGACUGGAAUUCCUGGUGUAGCGGUGAAAUGCGCAGAUAUCAGGAGGAACACCGGUGGCGAAGGCGGGUCUCUGGGCCGAUACUGACGCUGAGACGCGAAAGCGUGGGGAGCGAACAGG
rnacentral:rRNA from 1 species